rnacentral:sRNA from 1 species
UUCCUUAGUACCGUGGCUACCACGCCUAC